AGUCACAUUAACAAGAGUGAAAACAAGGUUAAGAAGACAUGUUAAAGCACGAGACCCCUGACAGGUGGGCUACUACAGUAAACUAUCUCCUCCCUCUCUUUUGCCUACGUCAUCCUCACUCAUCCUGGGCAUAUGCCAAAUAUGACAACACCAUCAACCAUUGACUUUUGAUAUUCAGAAAAAUUAACGGCGAGCUAUCAAGGAUAGCAUAUGAUUGUAAUAUCAUCCUCAAGGGUCGACCUCAAGUGCCAUACCAUUAUCAUCAUGUUGUGUUAAUUAAACACCAACUGGCAAAAGGGGCAGCACGGUGGCGCAGUGGGUUGUGCUCU